ACUCUUCAAGGUGCUGCAUGGUUGUCGUCAGCUCGUGCCGUGAGGUGUCGGGUUAAGUCCCAUAACGAGCGCAACCCUUACCGUUAGUUACCAUCAGGUUAAGCUGGGGACUCUAGCGGGACUGCCACCGUAAGGUGAGAGGAAGUGGGGAUGACGUCAAAUCAGCACGGCCCUUAUGUCCAGGGCUACACACGUGUUACAAUGGCCAGUACAAAGGGCAGCUACCGGGUGACCGGAUGCUAAUCUCUAAAGCUGGUCUCAGUUCGGAUCGAAGUCUGCAACCCGACUUCGUGAAGCUGGAUUCGCUAGUAAUCGCGCAUCAGCCAUGGCGCGGUGAAUACGUUCCCGGGCCUU
rnacentral:rRNA from 1 species